rnacentral:rRNA from 1 species
GACGAACGCUGGCGGCGUGCUUAACACAUGCAAGUCGAACGAAAAGACGGAAAGAGCUUGCUCUUUCCGGUAUUGAGUGGCAAACGGGUGAGUAACACGUAAACAACCUGCCUUCAGGAUGGGGCCAACAGACGGAAACGACUGCUCAUACCGAAUAAUUUCCACGGGCCGCAUGGUCCAUGGAAGAAAAGUUGGCCUCUCUCUGUAAGCUAUCGCCUGCAGAGUGGUUUGGGUCUGAUUUGCCGGGUUGCGGGGUAAAGGCCCACUAAAGCGACGAACAGUGACCCGACUGGGAGGAGGAACGGCCAAACUGGAACCGGGACACGGUCCAGAAUCCUAAGGGAGGGAGCAGGGGGGGAUCUUUCGGCAUGGGCGAAAGGCUGAAGGGGGAACGCCGGGGGGGGGAAGACGGCCUUCGGGUUGUAAAAAUCCGUGAUCCGGGACGAAAAGGCAGAGUGCGAAGAACAAACUGCAUUGACGGUACCGGAAAAGAAAGCCACGGCUAACUACGUG